rnacentral:lncRNA from 1 species
AAAGGUGCUGGUGUAGGCAGUGAGACUUGGGAUCUGUGAUGGAGGAGACCUGGAAUGACCAUCCUCUGCGUGCUCUCUCUGACUGAGAAAAUGGAGGCAUUUUCUUUUACGGAUUACCUGGUGGGUCAAGUGACAGCAAGAAAAAAGAAUGUUAUUUGUAUAUUGGAAACUUUUUUUCCAUUGCUCUGUCCCUUAACUUGAGUCUUUCAAUAUUGAACAAUAAUACAUCUUCCAUUCUCAUUAGUAAUUCAGUCUGCAGACUGAUUCAGAUUAACUUGGACUCUCAGUGUAUUAAACACUUUAAGAAAAAAGCAGAAGAGCUCAGGAUGUUUAUGAAAAGCAAUUUCCUCAAUGCCAGGCAGUUUAAUAACUCUAGAGCCAGUGGCAUUCAGGCUCAUUUAUUUUAAGCUACAUUUCCAAACUGUGACGGGUCAAUAAUAAAUAAGGCAGGAUGGCAGGUUUGGCAUAGAAGAGAGCUCAUUUUGAAGAAAAGAAUGUAUGCAAGUUCAGCCCAAAGUGCGUGGAAUAAUGGGGCUUUUAGGUCCACCAAAAUAAAGGCUCAUUUGAGAAGCUGAAUCUUAUUACAAAUCAAUAUUUCCCUGGUGACCUAUUGGCAAUAGGUGAAAAUUUGGAGGUGUGUCUGGCAAAACUCUGCUCAUCUCUUGUCCAAAUAGCUUUCUUUCAUGUAACAGUACAGUUCUUCUGCGUAUCGGUCUGGAUUUUUCCUGUAAUCGAGUUCCUGGUGAAGAGGCAUGUUGCCCCCAGGCAGUGCUUUGCACCUGAGACCUCAGACCUAUUCAAGCAAUAAAUGCAAGCAUCACAGCAUGUUUCAAAGGACUUGUUAAAAAUAUUGGAAAUCGGUAUCUUGUAGGAAACAAAGUGAGUUAAUGCUGUUUGUUGAAAACACCUUGUACAAGCCAUAUGGGACACUGGGCAGGUCAACUGGAAUGUGUAACAACAUUCACCUAUCUCUUGCUUCUCUCUAUGGAUAUUUAAGCACAGAUGCUGGGUUCAUCAAAGGCCCUUCCCUGCCUGGAUGUCCUUGCUGGAAAGACUCGAGCCUGGAGCAUCCCCAGCCGGGAGGAAUGGAGCACCACAAGGGGCGGAUUUGGUUCUGGUGUUGGUCUCAUGGCAAGGAGGGACCAAAAGCAAGCCUAUGGUGUAGCAUCUUGUCAUUCGGCUGUGAGAAAGGUACUGGGAACCCCGGUGUGCACCCAGGCUCCACAGUCACUCCUCUGCUGGGUACGUGCUGCUGUGCUUCCGGACAGCCCGCCUGGCACCCUGCUGGGCUUUCCCUCCCUUCCUUACAGAAACCUCGUCAUCAGCAGUCACUUCUUCCUCCCGUGUCUGCUCACAAUCAGAGAAGAAGCUGCAGUCAUUGUUUUGCCUGCCCUGCAACUUUAUAG